rnacentral:tRNA from 1 species
GGGGCCGUAGUACAGUUGGGAGUACGCCUGCUUUGCAAGCAGGAGGUCAGGAGUUCAACUCUCCUCGGCUCCA